AUGGCCAGAGGAGCGCAAGCUCGUCCCCGGCUUGUACGCCUCUGUCCCCUGCGUUGCUGCCACGGGGAGAGAGUCGCGGCACUGAACGUCGUCUCCUUCGUCCACGCACGCGUCCACGAGCCUCGGAUCGACCUCCCCGACGACCUCUGCUUCCCCUGCUUCCUCUGCUUUACGGACGCCAAGUCGGAGGCCUCUUCUCGUCGCCGACCUCUCCUUCUUCUUCCUCGGGUCUACCUUGCCGCUGGCUAA
rnacentral:rRNA from 1 species